rnacentral:rRNA from 1 species
GAACGCUAGCUACAGGCUUAACACAUGCAAGUCGAGGGGCAGCAUGGUCUUAGCUUGCUAAGGCCGAUGGCGACCGGCGCACGGGUGAGUAACGCGUAUCCAACCUGCCUUACACUCUUGGACAGCCUUCUGAAAGGGAGAUUAAUACAAGAUGUUAUCAUGAGUAAGCAUUUUCGCAUGAUUAAAGGUUUACCGGUGUAAGAUGGGGAUGCGUUCCAUUAGAUAGUAGGCGGGGUAACGGCCCACCUAGUCUUCGAUGGAUAGGGGUUCUGAGAGGAAGGUCCCCCACAUUGGAACUGAGACACGGUCCAAACUCCUACGGGAGGCAGCAGUGAGGAAUAUUGGUCAAUGGACGAGAGUCUGAACCAGCCAAGUAGCGUGAAGGAUGAAGGUUCUAUGGAUUGUAAACUUCUUUUAUACGGGAAUAAACGGAUCCACGUGUGGAUUUUUGCAUGUACCGUAUGAAUAAGGAUCGGCUAACUCCGUGCCAGCAGCCGCGGUAAUACGGAGGAUCCGAGCGUUAUCCGGAUUUAUUGGGUUUAAAGGGAGCGUAGAUGGGUUGUUAAGUCAGUUGUGAAAGUUUGCGGCUCAACCGUAAAAUUGCAAUUGAUACUGGCAGUCUUGAGUACAGUUGAGGUAGGCGGAAUUCGUGGUGUAGCGGUGAAAUGCUUAGAUAUCACGAAGAACUCCGAUUGCGAAGGCAGCUUACUAACCUGUAACUGACAUUGAUGCUCGAAAGUGUGGGUAUCAAACAGGAUUAGAUACCCUGGUAGUCCACACGGUAAACGAUGAAUACUCGCUGUAGGCGAUAUACAGUCUGCGGCCAAGCGAAAGCAUUAAGUAUUCCACCUGGGGAGUACGCCGGCAACGGUGAAACUCAAAGGAAUUGACGGGGGCCCGCACAAGCGGAGGAACAUGUGGUUUAAUUCGAUGAUACGCGAGGAACCUUACCCGGGCUUAAAUUGCAACCGAAUAUGGCGGAAACGCUAUAGCUAGCAAUAGCGGUUGUGAAGGUGCUGCAUGGUUGUCGUCAGCUCGUGCCGUGAGGUGUCGGCUUAAGUGCCAUAACGAGCGCAACCCUUGCCGAUAGUUACUAACAGGUUAUGCUGAGGACUCUGUCGGGACUGCCAUCGUAAGAUGUGAGGAAGGUGGGGAUGACGUCAAAUCAGCACGGCCCUUACGUCCGGGGCUACACACGUGUUACAAUGGGGGGUACAGAGGGCUGCUACCACGCAAGUGGAUGCCAAUCCCAAAAACCUCUCUCAGUUCGGAUUGAAGUCUGCAACCCGACUUCAUGAAGCUGGAUUCGCUAGUAAUCGCGCAUCAGCCACGGCGCGGUGAAUACGUUCCCGGGCCUUGUACACACCGCCCGUCAAGCCAUGGGAGCCGGGGGUACCUGAAGUGCGUAACCGCAAGGAGCGCCCUAGGGUAAAACUGGUGACUGGGG